GAGAGAGUAAGAGAGGUGGUUUCCCUCGCAGAGCAUGUGCAGGGCUGGGUGGAAAGGGCACCCAGUCAGUGAAGUGGCCAAGGGCACACACGCCAGCACAGACUGCCCGGGUUCCCUGUGUGUCCUUGAACAGGAUCCUCAACUUCUCCCGGCUUCCUUUUCCUACUUGGGUAAAAACCUCACAGGUUAUCAUGAAGAUAAAAUUAGAAAACCCAUUUGAAAUGUUUAACAACACCUGGUAUAUAGUAAGUGUUUGGUUAAUACAGGUAACUUCUCUAGGAACCGGGGACGUAGCAGCGAGCAAAGCCAAGUCCCUGCUCUCCUGGAUCUUGCAUUCUGGGGGAGGAAGUGCUAAGACACAUGGAUGUGUGCUACUGUCAGAUGAUGGUGCCACUGGGGAGAACAUGAAGCAGGAUGAGGGGCAGUGAGAGGCGGGGACUGAUUUGGAGGGUCAGGGCAGGGGCAUUUGUGCAGGGAACAGAAUGAAGUGGAAAUUAUAGGAAUUAUGGUUAUAUGAUUUUUUUUCUUUUUCUUUUUUCUUUUUCUGAGACAUGGUCUCACCCUGUCACCCAGGCUGCAGUGCAGUGGCAUGAUCUCCGUUCACUGCAACCUCCACCUCCCAGGCUCAAGGGAUCCUCCUAUCUCAGCCUUCGGAGUUGCUGGGACUACAGGCGCAGACCACCACGCCCAGCUAUUUUUUGUAUUUUUUUUUGUUAGAGACGGGGUUUCACCAUAUUGCCCAGGCUCCUCUCCAACUCCUGGACUCAAGCAAUCCACCUGCCUUGGCCUCCCAAAGUGCUCGGAUUACACGGACCGUGAAGGGGGACCGAGUCUUGGUGGCUCACGUGGCUGACUCUCCACAAACGGCUGUAGGACAAGCAUGUUUCUGUCUGUGAGGGCUGAGCACAGUGAGUCACGCCUGUAAUCCCAGCACCUUGGGUGGCCGAGGCGGGAGGAUCACUGGAGGCCAGGAGUUCAAGACCAGCCUGGGGAACAUAGGAAGACCCCCGUCUCUACAAAAAAUAAAAAAAUUAGCUUGGCGUGGUGGCACGAAGCUGUAGGUGGGAGAGUCACUAAAGUCCAGAGGUCGAGGAUGCAGUGAGCUGUGAUUGCACCACUGCACCCCAGCCUGGGCGACAGUGAGACCCUGUCUCGAAAAACAAAAAUUCCUUUCAGAACCUGUUUUUGGAACAUACAAGUUGGCCUGGCCACAUUUCCAGUCUAUUUCAUUUUUGUCUUGAGUGAUCACUACACUUGGUACCAAGACACUUCGUGCUGGUUCCAAAUAACGAAUUUAAAAGAUUCCUGCAAGAAGAAUGAGAAGGCUGCCGGGCGCGGUGGCUCACGCCUGUAAUCCCAGCACUUUGGGAGGCCGAGGCGGGCAGAUCACGAGGUCAGGAGAUCGAGACCAUCCUGGUUAACACGGUGAAACCCCGUCUCUACUAAAAAUACAAAAAAUUAGCCGGGCGUGGUGGCGGGUGCCUGUAGUCCCAGCUACUCAGGAGGCUGAGGCAGGAGAAUGCGUGAACCCGGGAGGUGGAGCUUGCAG